rnacentral:rRNA from 1 species
UACGUAGGUGGCGAGCGUUAUCCGGAAUUACUGGGUGUAAAGGGAGCGUAGACGGUAGUGCAAGUCUGGAGUGAAAGGCGGGGGCCCAACCCCCGGACUGCUCUGGAAACUGUACGGCUGGAGUACCGGAGAGGUAAGCGGAGUUCCUAGUGUAGCGGUGAAAUGCGUAGAUAUCAGGAGGAACAUCAGUGGCGAAGGCGGCCACCUGGCACAAAACUGACGCUGAGGUGCGAAAGCGUGGGUAGCAA